rnacentral:rRNA from 1 species
UACGUAGGUGACAAGCGUUGUCCGGAUUUACUGGGCGUAAAGAGCGCGCAGGCGGUCGAUCCAGUCGAGUGUGAAAGCCCCCGGCUCAACUGGGGAGGGUCAUUCGAUACUGAUCGACUCGAAGGCAGGAGAGGGUAGUGGAAUUCCCGGUGUAGUGGUGAAAUGCGUAGAUAUCGGGAGGAACACCAGUGGCGAAGGCGGCAUCCUGGCCCUGACCUGACGCUGAGGCGCGAGAGCGUGGGGAGCAAACCGG